CCUACGGGUGGCUGCAGUGGGGAAUAUUGGACAAUGGGCGAAAGCCUGAUUCAGCCAUGCCGCGUGUGUGAAGAAGGCCUUCGGGUUGUAAAGCACUUUCAGUGGGGAAGAAAGCCUUGGGGCUAAUACCCUCGAGGAAGGACAUCACCCACAGAAGAAGCACCGGCUAACUCCGUGCCAGCAGCCGCGGUAAUACGGAGGGUGCGAGCGUUAAUCGGAAUUACUGGGCGUAAAGCGCGCGUAGGCGGUCUGAUAAGCCGGUUGUGAAAGCCCCGGGCUCAACCUGGGAACGGCAUCCGGAACUGUCAGGCUAGAGUGCAGGAGAGGAAGGUAGAAUUCCCGGUGUAGCGGUGAAAUGCGUAGAGAUCGGGAGGAAUACCAGUGGCGAAGGCGGCCUUCUGGACUGACACUGACGCUGAGGUGCGAAAGCGUGGGUAGCAAACAGGAUUAGAUACCCUGGUAGUC
rnacentral:rRNA from 1 species